CCAACUCGCAGCUGAGCAGCAUGCCCCGGCCCACGGGGCACUUGGUGCACGGCUCGCACCUCUGCGACAGCUUGUUCAGAUGGCUGGAGAACUGGGAAAGCCACUAAAUUAUGCAACGGAGCCAUUUGUAAGCGCAUCGCGCGCACGUGUGAGAGCGCCGCGCGGAGGUAAAUCAGGCCACGGGGCGUUCUUCACCACCACCGAGCCGCCGAUAAAUGGCCGCAAAUGGUCGACAGGCGGCACGCGUGACUGCGUUGGAGCUGAUGGAAAUCGGACAGACAAAAUGGAGAUUCCUCCCAAGUCA